CGCAAUAAAGGGUGAUAGCCCCGUAAUCGACAUCUCAUAAUCAGUGAAAACGAGUAGGGCGGGACACGUGAUAUCCUGUCUGAAUAUGGGGGGACCAUCCUCCAAGGCUAAAUACUACUGACUGACCGAUAGUGAACCAGUACCGUGAGGGAAAGGCGAAAAGAACCCCUGUGAGGGGAGUGAAAUAGAACCUGAAACCGUGUACGUACAAGCAGUAGGAGCACCUUCGUGGUGUGACUGCGUACCUUUUGUAUAAUGGGUCAGCGACUUAAUUUUAGUAGCAAGGUUAACCGUUUAGGGGAGCCGUAGGGAAACCGAGUCUUAACUGGGCGUACAGUUGCUAGGAUUAGACCCGAAAGCAGGUGCUCCAGCCAUGGGCAGGUUGAAGGUUGAGUAACAUCAACUGGAGGAC
rnacentral:rRNA from 1 species